CGUGUUUUGUGGGAUUUGCCAGCAGCGUGCAAUCUCCCUGCAUGCGUCAGGUCCACACAUGGCAGUGUCCCUUGUCUCUCUCUGGGUUUGUUUGGUGGUACAUCAGGCCAGUCUCUGGAAGCCUGGAAUUAAGGAUGCAAGCAUGUUCAUGCGCGUGGUGUAGGAUGGAUGGGGAAGGCAAUCGCAGGAGACCUUCCGCUCCCUCCUCCACCUGGGGCUGGGCCCUGAAAACAAUAACAGAGCACGCCAGUGAUCGUAAGAAGAAAAAUUCACACUUAAAGUUUGGAAAGCAACAGGACAAAGGUCUGUCUUCAGUGUUCAUAGGUUUCAGAAUAACACAACUACAGUGCAAGUGGAACUUGAGAAUGAAUGAACAUCCGGGAUUGAGGAUGGAUGCAGUCAGUAACUAUUGUCACCCACUGGUGAGGGAGUGA
rnacentral:lncRNA from 1 species